rnacentral:rRNA from 1 species
AUUGAACGCUGGCGGCAGGCCUAACACAUGCAAGUCGAACGAGUGGCGGACGGGUGAGUAAUGUCUGGGAAACUGCCUGAUGGAGGGGGAUAACUAAUGGAAACGGUAGCUAAUACCGCAUACCAUCGGAUGUGCCCAGAUGGGAUUAGCUAGUAGGUGGGGUAACGGCUCACCGAGGCGACGAGCCCAAGCUGGUCUGAGAGGAUGACCAGCCACACUGUAACUGAGACACGGUCCAGACUCCUACGGUAGGCAGCCGUGGGGAAUAUUGCACAAGUGGCGCAAGCCUGAUGCAGCCAUGCCGCGUGUAUGAAGAAGGCCUUCGGGUUGUAAAGUACUUUCAGCGGGGAGGCGUUACCCUCAGAAGAAGCACCGGCUAACUCCGUGCCAGCAGCCGCGGUAAUUC